AUUGAACGCUGGCGGCAGGCCUAACACAUGCAAGUCGAGCGAAGCCUUCGGGCUUAGCGGCGGACGGGUGAGUAACGCGUGGGAACGUGCCCUUUGCUACGGAAUAGCCCCGGGAAACUGGGAGUAAUACCGUAUGUGCCCUUCGGGGGAAAGAUUUAUCGGCAAAGGAUCGGCCCGCGUUGGAUUAGGUAGUUGGUGGGGUAAUGGCAUACCAAGCCGACGAUCCAUAGCUGGUUUGAGAGGAUGAUCAGCCACACUGGGACUGAGACACGGCCCAGACUCCUACGGGAGGCAGCAGUGGGGAAUCUUAGACAAUGGGGGAAACCCUGAUCUAGCCAUGCCGCGUGAUCGAUGAAGGCCUUAGGGUUGUAAAGAUCUUUCAGUGGGGAAGAUAAUGACUGUACCCACAGAAGAAGCCCCGGCUAACUCCGUGCCAGCCGCCGCCGUAACAC
rnacentral:rRNA from 1 species